GUGCUUGCUUCGGUAGCACAUAUAACUAAAAUUGGAAUGAUAUGGAGAUUAGCAUGGCCCCUGAGUAAGGAUAACAUGCAAAUUCAUGAAGAGUUCCAUGUUUUU
ensembl:snRNA U6 U6 spliceosomal RNA